UCCCCCUCAAUAGAGGGGGGGCGGUUCUUGUUCUCCCUGAGCCACCAUCACCCAGACACAGAUAGUCUGACAAGGAGGUGAUGAGUGACUCGGAAAAACACCCGCU
rfam:Tick-borne encephalitis virus gene, complete cds, strain:Oshima 5-10